rnacentral:misc_RNA from 1 species
UUCCAGUGGUCAAAGAAGAAAAUUCACUUCUAGAUCAUACAAUCAAGUCUCGUCCAAUGUAUGUACGUAUUGUCAGCAAGCAGAUGGUUGGUAUAUACGUAUCAGUUUGGGUACGCCGAAGAUUGAGGAGGCAUAUAAACAACUUGCAAGUCUCUGCUGUUGGAAUUGGACUUAUGGGAUACAUGGGCAAUAAGGGAUCUGUUUCUGUGAGCAUGUCUCUUUUCCAGUCAAGGCUAUGCUUUGUUUGUUCACAUUUAACUUCUGGCCAAAAGGACAGGGCGGAUCAAAGGCGUAACUCUGAUGUAAACGAAAUUAUGAGGCGUACACAUUUCUCAUCUGUAUUCGACACUGAUGCAGAUCAACCACAAACAAUUCCAUCUCAUGAUCAGAUAUUCUGG